UAGAUGUACAUUUUGUUCCUGGUUAGUUUGUGCUAUGAUGGUUGAUUGAUUCACUAUAGGUAUGGUAGUUAAGCACAAAGAUGUGUUUGUUGAAAGAAAAUCAUGUCAAUAAUUAUUAUGCUCAUAAAAGUUUAUCUAUGGACUCAUUAACAGCUUGAAAUUCAAAGAAAGUUCAUGUGGCUCAUGAAAAAAUGCGUACUAGAUACCUUCCAAUGUGCCUUUUUAUCAAUAUAAUUUUACCGAAGUUUUGUAGAUCAUUCGUUGAUGUGGGAACAAUUUUUAAAUUUAUGGAAAAAAACAAAAUCAGGACCACUCCAGUUCCACUCGAUCCUAAAUUUUUCAAGAGCCUUGAGUACCUGCCAAAAAUGGUAAUUAUUGAGCCAGAUGGAGUGUUAUGGCCAUUUGAGGUAGAAACUGGUGUUGUCAAACCGUUCAACAUUACUGAAGUCGUUAUUUAAAACCUAGGUAUGAAGCCUCGACAGAACUCCCGAAGAAAAAUCAUCGAAUAUGGAGUGAAGACCUCUCUAUCGAACAUAUAGAACUAACUGACCACAACAGAAAACUAUUGAAAAUGCACAAUGAUGCUACAAGGGCUAUUGUGUAUCUGAUUAAAAAAAGGAUAAAGGUGGCAGUCGCCCAAACAACAAAAGAAAUCAUCAUAAUGAGACAUUUAUUACAUCUGUUCGAUAUUGACCAUCUUUUUGACUUCAUGGAGUUGGAUAUGGAUUCUCCUGUGAAUCAUGUUAAAAUAAUCAAAGAAGAAUCUGGGUUUGACUAUCAGGAUCUCAUAUAUUUUGGAACAAACCAAACCAUUUUAAAUGAAAUUAAAGAAGCAUUAAAUGUGACAACUAUACAUGUCAACUCUGAAACAGGGAUCAGUUUCAAACACAUAUAUCAAGCUGUGUAUAUUUAUAAUAUCAAGGACUAUAUGAAAGUAGUCCGAGGUAAGCUUACAUUUCUUGGUAAAAUUGUUUCUGACGAAGAAUUUGAAAUUAAGCCCCUAGUUCAAAAGAUGAAAAGUAAAAGAGGGACAAAUUCAAAACAGUUUCGACAAUUUUCCCCAACACUUGGAUCAUCCUUUAAUGUAACAAAGAAAAUCACUAGAAACAUAGAUUUUACAUCACAUAAAGUAAUGAAGCCUCCUAAAAAACAAUCACCGAAGAGGAUGAAGAAUGGCAGAUCUAGAAUAUUGACAACAAAAUCACAAAUAUUGUUUAAAAGUAAAACUGAUCAAAUAAGCAAAGAGAUUAUUACAAGAAUAUCUGGAAAUGAACAAAAAACAGUGAAUUCAACUCAUAGUAACAAGGAAGGAGGUAGGCCUAGUAGAAAAUCUAGAAAAAAAUGUGAAACACCAUCUAUGCCUAAGUUAGAACCCUUAAGCAAAUUUUUGAAGAAUGCAAGAACCAGAAGAAAAAAUACUUGAAAAAUUAAACCUCAAAGUAAUUUAAAAAAAUAUUUAAUUUACAUUUGAACUAUAUAGUUGAAAUAGAAAUAUGGGUUGCAUCAAUUUUAU